UAGGGAAUCUUCGGCAAUGGACGAAAGUCUGACCGAGCAACGCCGCGUGAGUGAAGAAGGUUUUCGGAUCGUAAAACUCUGUUGUUAGAGAAGAACAAGGACGUUAGUAACUGAACGUCCCCUGACGGUAUCUAACCAGAAAGCCACGGCUAACUACGUGCCAGCAGCCGCGGUAAUACGUAUGUGGCAAGCGUUGUCCGGAUUUAUUGGGCGUAAAGCGAGCGCAGGCGGUUUCUUAAGUCUGAUGUGAAAGACCCCGGCUAAACAGGGGAGGGUCAUUGGAAACUGGGAGACUGGAGUGCAGAAGAGGAGAGGGGAAUUCCAUGUGUAGCGGUGAAAUGCGUAGAUAUAUGGAGGAACACCAGUGGCGAAGGCGGCUCUCUGGUCUGUAACGGACGCUGAGGCUGGAAAGCGUGGGGAGCAAACAGG
rnacentral:rRNA from 1 species